rnacentral:rRNA from 1 species
AGUGAACGCUGGCGGCGUGCCUAAUACAUGCAAGUCGAACGGAGUGGCGCACGGGCGAGUAAUGUAUAGCUAAUCUGCCCUACACUAGAGGACAACAGUUGGUAACGACUGCUAAUACUCUAUAGUGUAGGUUGAGGCUAUAAUGUAUCAGCUAGUUGGUGAGGUAAUGGCUCACCAAGGCUAUGACGCAUAACUGGUCUGAGAGGAUGAUCAGUAACACUGGAAGUGAGACACGGGUGAGACUCCUACGGGAGGCAGCAGUAGGGAAUAUUGCUCAAUGGGGGUGACCCUGAAGCGGCAGCGCCGCGUGAAGGAUGACACUUGUCGGAGCGUAAACUCCUUUUGUUAGGGAAGCGGUACCUAACGAAGAAGCACCGGCUAACUCCGUGCCAGCAGCCGCGGUAAUAC